rnacentral:rRNA from 1 species
GUACGCUGGCGGCACGCCUUAUACAUGCAAGUCGAACGAAGUAGCAAUACUUAGUGGCAGACGGGUGAGUAACAUGUAGGUAUCUUCCCUUUGGUGAGGAAUAACACGAGGAAACUUGUGCUAAUACCUCAUAAGUCUUUACGGAGAAAGCUUUAUGCGCCGAAGGAUGAGCCUGCACUUGAUUAGUUUGUUGGUGGGGUAAUGGCCUACCAAGACUUUGAUCUAUAGCUGAUCUGAGAGGAUGAUCAGCCACAUUGGGACUGAGACACGGCCCAAACUCCUACGGGAGGCAGCAGUAGGGAAUAUUGCACAAUGGAGGAAACUCUGAUGCAGCGAUGCCGCGUGAGUGAAGAAGGCCUUUGGGUUGUAAAGCUCUUUCGUCGGGAAAGAAAAUGACUGUACCCGAAUAAGAAGGUCCGG